rnacentral:rRNA from 1 species
UGGAUAACUUCGGGAAACCGGAGCUAAUACCGGAUAAUAUUUUGAACCGCAUGGUUCAAAAGUGAAAGACGGUCUUGCUGUCACUUAUAGAUGGAUCCGCGCUGCAUUAGCUAGUUGGUAAGGUAACGGCUUACCAAGGCAACGAUGCAUAGCCGACCUGAGAGGGUGAUCGGCCACACUGGAACUGAUACACGGUCCAG